UACAGAGGUCUCAAGCGUUGUUCGGAUUCAUUGGGCGUAAAGGGUGCGUAGGCGGCCAGAUAAGUCCGCUGUGAAAUCUCGAGGCUCAACUUCGAGCUGUCGGUGGAAACUGUCUGGCUAGAGUCCGGAAGAGGCGAGUGGAAUUCCUGGUGUAGCGGUGAAAUGCGCAGAUAUCAGGAGGAACACCAAUUGCGAAGGCAGCUCGCUGGGACGUUACUGACGCUGAGACGCGAAAGCGUGGGGAGCAAACAGG
rnacentral:rRNA from 1 species